CUUUUCCAAGUGAAAAAGAAUACUUAGUUGAACCUCCUGAGAAAUUAACAUGGAUAGGCGAUUUUGGAUUUUUGGCUCAAGAACCUUGGCCUGCACCUGCUCAAGAACUCUCAUGGUCUCCAGGAAAUAUUUUUGUUGAAUUGGAAUUGCCACCUGUGCAUGAAGACCCUGGCUUGCCUAAUCCACAACUACCUGAUUCAGGAGGCCUUGAACAGCUACCAGGUGAUGGAAAAAUCUACAGAACAGAACACACUAUCAAUUGCAGAACUUCAUGAUUUCUUAAAAAGUUUGUAUCACUCCCACAACUGCACUCUUCUUCUUCUUCUUCUUCUUCAUGGCACAAUGUAUGGAGGCCUAUAAAUUACUAACAAAGCUCCACUGGAGAUAUCGCACGCUCUCAUCACAUUGAGCAUUUUGUCAAUCAUUUGGUACAUUUCCAAACCUGAGACACCAAAUCCACAGCUGCCUACUUCUAGUGAGGAGGUUUAUUGCGAAAACAAUACCCUGGUUGCUCAAGGCCUGCCUUUCCCAGGUGGAAAUAUUGACAACUUCUG